rnacentral:lncRNA from 1 species
CAAUGGAUGUAUAUUUGCAUGCAGCUGUUCAUCAUACGAUGGACGAUAUGCUGUGCACCAUACCAUAUAGUGCACAGCAGAGAACUCGAGCACGCUAUAGUUUUGUUUGUUAUGCCAACACCAAGUGCUAGCGUAUCAUGUGUCUCAUCAUGCUGGAACUACCCAACAAAGUGUACAUGAUGGCUGACCAGAAAGAAGCAUGAUGAUAGUUAUGGCCUCAUAAUUUGAUAAUAUUAUUUAUUACUUGAUUUUGCUUGUAUGAUUGCACACCAAAUAAAAGGCUG